GAACUUGGCGUUUUAGUUCACACGUUGAAAAGUAGCUCGUUGUUUCGAUACCGGAACGAAGAAAAUUUUAAUAAACGUAUUAAACUCUGAAAUAAAUGUUUUCCUUUGCUACUAGAAGUAUCUGAGAAAACGAAAAGACAGAGGGUCGUGUUGGUUUCAACGUGCGCAGCGAGAUUCACUAGCGAGUGAAAAACCCUUACCGCGAUCCAAUUAUCAUUCCGCCAAUCAGCCCCGCGAGAAGGAUAUACGUGCUACCUUCGCGCCAGUAAAAUUCAAAAUUACUAUUCCCCGGGUAACUUCCUCGGACGUAGAGGUAGUAAAGGAGAGGACAAUAAAAAGAACGAUAAAAAUUCCGCAAAAAUCUUGCUCCUUAAACGGGGUCGCCCGGUUGAAAUCCGACAGGCUGGCUGGCUGGCUUGCCAGGCUGCGCGCACGAGCCACCGACAAAAUAAUAAAAGUUUCACGAAAAAUCUACAUUCGAACGGGGUUAAGGCCGCGAGCUCACCGGUUACGACUCUCGGGACACCCGUUAGAAUAUCGCGAAGAAAAAUGACAUAAGACAUCCCUGUUCCGACUCGGGCGCCAUAUGACCGUCUCUGUCGCAAGCUCUUCCCCUCUCCCGGCUCUCCUUCCCCCACUACCGGCCACCGAUAUCCUACUACCGUCAUUCCUUGCCCUCUCCUCCAAGCCAGCUAAGCCCCCUGCCCGCACCCACUCGCCCACCCACUUACACCCCCGCACUCUCACGCACGCCACACAUAGAACCAGCGUCGUCACCACUACUACGCGCCAACGUCGACCGUAUCGCCCGUACUACUACCACUACCACUGCCACCACUACCACCAAUCCAGUGACCAACGCUAAUUGCAGUCAGCUCAUCGUUUUCCGUAAGCAUAGGAUAGUCGGUGGUGAAAGAAAGGAGCAUAAGCCACGCGAAAAAGCAAGAGGAGUCGAAGGAGCGAAGAAAGAUAAAGAUAAAGGAAAGGAAAGGUUCGAGAAACAGGGACGGAGAUAGGAGGAAUAUCGCAGGAGGAAAAAGAGGAAAAAGAGGAAAAAGAGGAAAAGAGGGCCAAUUACGCGAGACUAGAGAAUAGAAGACGGAAGAGAGAAGAGAGCGGUAGAGCUUGGAAGCAUAGCUUAGCGUGGACCGACACGGCAUAUCCAUAGACAUAUACACUGUGUCUAUGGGCAUAUCGACGAGAUCCGAGAGCGGCCGAGCACGACCGAGCCGGGCCGACUCGGACCCUGCGCGCUCAACCCAAACCGGAGGAAGCAUAGUUGCAUUUAAACUGCCAUCCCACUGAGGUCUCUCUUCCGUAGUGUUGGAGUAGUCUGCUGGCUGGGCCAGCCGCACUCGACGAGUACGUGUCGCGUACCUUGCACCGUUCACCCGCACUCUCUUGCACCAUAUAACCGGACACUCUCUCGCGUGUGACACUUGCUUCUGUCUGUCGCGCUCACCCUCUCGUACGCUUCUCGUCUCGUCUCGUCUCGUCUCGUCUCGUUUCGUCUCGUCUCGUUUCGUCUCCUCUCCGCUUUGUUUCGGGAAAAACGUGCGUCGGCUGGAUUCUCAACUUGCAAGGAAGAAAAAGGGUUUUCAUCCGAGUUCCUUCUCUAUCAAGACUCGUGUGCAUCCUGCUGAUUCAAGAACGAAAAACUUCGGAAUCGAGAAAGGAGAAGAAGGAAAAGAGGAAAGGGGGACGGCGGUAUCGGUCGUCGAGUAUCGAGAUCGAAAUGUUUCCGGAAUAAUAGCGUUCAGUCGCAAUUUUCAACUAUUCGACUAGAUGGCCAGAAUCUCGUGGAAAUCUAAUCGAUCCUACGGUGUCUGGAAUAAUCUUCUUUGUCUUGUUCGUGUCCGAGGAAACUCCAAGUUGAUUCGGUCGAGUGGACUAGCCGGGACUGUCAAAGUUGCGCCUCGGAGUCAGCUGCUUCCGUUACGUCGAGCCGCAGACCCGUGUCUAUAGGAUGUCCUCGAAACGCGCAUCGAGUUCUUCGGUUCUCUUUCAACGUUUUCGACCGAUCUUCGGUGAACGAAAGAAGAAUAGAGGGGAAGAGACGUUGUACUUUUCGGCCAUCGGAACAAAUAAAUACGAAUGGGCAGAUUUCGGAAAACGGUCGGGAAAGUAGACGUUGCCGUUUCACGUUUUCGUGUUCCCUUUGUCCAACUCGAUAGUAAGUUGUUAGCCGGGCGCCUUGAAAUUUUAAACUCCGCCGCUCGUCCAAGAAAGAGAGAGUCUGCUCUCCGUUUUUCCUCCGUGAAUCUCGAUAGCUUUUCGCGUUCCCACCCGAUCAGCGAGAAUAACUUGUUGACUUUUCUCUCGUUGGGGCAACCGCGACGUUUUCACCUGUAUUACGCCAAUCGAAUUUCAAUUUCUACAACGAUCUUUAUCCGCUAUAAUAUUUUCCAAGAACUCGCGGUGAAUCUGCUUCGAUACGAGCAAUCGUGUUCUUCCUUAUUUUCGCAAAGAUUGUUCGAUUUGCUCGCAACGCUGUAUGCAUGUUACGCGGGGCCACGUCGAUCAAUAAAACACGGCUAUUUCGAUCCGUGAAUUACGUAAUUUCCCGAAUUUCCCUAGCCAAUCCUCGGUGUUCUUUUUUGUCAUUGUGCUAGCAAAUUUUUCAUGUUUCUAACGAACAGAAAGCAAACGAGACACAAAUAACAUCGGAAUUUACCGUAGCCGCCUUUACCGCUGUGCUAUUCUACUCGUUCAAUUUCAUCGCCGGUUUCUUUCUCGCAAUUUUCGCAAGAGAACGCACAGAGAACCCAUUAUGCCACGACGGUAGUCGUCGACUUGAAAUUAUCGAUUCCAUCGAAAACGUUUCUUUCGCUCGUACUUCUCGCUCACCACUUCGCUCACCAAGAACGUUUUAUCAGUUAAUUAGCCGAGUUAAUCAGUGUCGUUUCAAAAACGGAGGGGAAACGAGUUUUUCGGAAAUCUGUUUCGCCAUUUACCGUCAUUUUCGAUGUUCUUGUGAUUUUUCGCCGAAUAUCGUUCGACCGAUAUUUUCCGACGUUUCCGGCGUUGGUAAUUCCCGUGGAAAUCACGUAUGACGUAAGAUUUCAUCGAGUAUUCAUCGGUGUGGAACGAACAGGAAGAUUCGAGGCGAGAAUUUCAUACGAGCUUGGUUUUACAAUGCAUUUUUCUCGUUCUCCACAACGAUUGGUCCAUACGAAAGGUAUCGAAACGCUGUUGCUACGUGCUCCGAUGGGGGCCACCUUUAAAGCCGAUAUCGCGAAACGAAGUACACACUUACUUGCUAUGACCAGGCGAAAUGCUUAAAAGUCGGAGACCGAUGAUCUCGAUAAUCUUCCACGAUUUCUGUGCAAGGUCCAACAUUCUCGAUCGAAAGAGACUCCUCCGUUCCACUUUUGACCUUUCCCAGUCGAUCGAUCGGUCUCUGCGAUUUCAAGACCUAACCUGCUCUUCCCUGCAAACCAUUCUUCGUUUCUCCAUCCGUAUUUUAAUGAAUUCUAAUCGUUUCUCGCCGAAAUAACGACCUUCCUCGAGAAGACGUUAUCCUUCGAUCGAUGAAACGGACGGAAAUGUUAAUCGCGAACAGAUUGGAAAAUAUUCGAAAAUCGAGAGAGCCUACGCGACGACCAUAGCCCCCACAGUGUUGUGUAUGGUGCGAGGUUCGUUUCAGAGUGAUUCCUUUUCUUCCGUUCCAUUCGCACUCUCGUAAGCGCGAAUUAUCGGCACGAGGCCAAACUUGCGCCCCUUUUUCGCGCCUCUGACAUUUAGUCCGACGUUGUGCCAGCUUUCCCAGUCUCUUUACGUUUCUCAAAAUCGUCGCCUCUCGAAAUUAAUAGAUCGCAGACUCGACGACAUCGUCGGAAAUCGGUCCGAUAUCGAUAUCCAAGAGAAUAUAAAUUAAUAAGGAAUCGCGCGGAUUAAAGCGAAUAGUUUCAAAGAAAGAUGAACCGAUGUGCGGCGUUGGAGUUAAAAGCGACAUCGUUCGGUGGAUGGCGAGCCGACAAAUUGUAAUUUCGAUUCGCAGCUUCUGCAGUUGUCGGUUGAUACUCGGUUCCGUGUCGCGGGCUCGUUACGAGCGACCAAAAGGUAAUUUCUUACUCGGCGUAAUAACACGUUCCUGUGUACACACAUCGUCGGCCACUUUUCCGCAACUAUUAGCCCAAUUAGCUCGGACCAGCUUCAUCGUCAACUGUUGCACGCGAGUUCUAACAACGAAUCGACGGAAUUGGACGCGGCAACUGCCUAUCGAUCAAUUAGCCAUUCCGUCGCAACUUUGCCCUUCCGUUUUUCAAAAUGUCGUUAAUCGGCAACGGAUAAUUUUUCGAUGGCUCGCAGCAAUUUCUAACUUGGAUUUUCUGGCCUAGAGACGCGCUUAAUAGUCGCAUCUGUUCCACGCUGGCGAACUUUUAUCGAUCAGAAACGAUCUCGCCUGUAAUUCAUCGUUUAGAAAUUUCCAAAUACUUGUACAAACGUCCCUCGGGUUUUAUAUUUACAUUCUUCGUUUCUAUCGUCUUGACGUAUUCGUAUAGCUUUGGCAGGAUAUUUUGGUGCGAAACCGCUCGUUCUAAGAGACUUAUUUUAAGAGAAAGUAAGAAGUUAAUUAGUUCGUGAUAAUUAAAAAAAACUCGUUUCUUCGUCAACGUUGGCUGUGACUCGCCGAUUUCUAAAUAGUCAGUAGCUAAUUUCUAAUCUCUUAACUUCAGGUUCCUUAGAUGCGAAAUAAUUCGUUUUAUGGAACGAAAAUAUUUUUUACUUCGUAUCGUUUCGAACCUGUCGAUUCGCUAGCCUAAUUCUCUAUUUUCCAUCGAUUAAAUCGAAGAAUAAUAAAAAACAUUUGGCUCCGUCAAUUAAAACAGGUAUUCAUCUAAAUUCAUUCUCCCUCGACGCUUUAUCCAAUUUUAGCUUCGAUCCUUUUAACUCCGACAAUAUCGAAAAACGAUUAAAAUCUUUCGAUGAAAAUCUUUCCAAAGCGUAGCUCUUCUUUCGCUUUCUCUUUCCCCUUUUUUAUUUCUUUUUUUUUUUCUUUUUUCUUGUUCGAAAAUGGUCUCUCGAUACUCGGCGCAGGCCGAGAGAAUUCGUCUGCUCUGUGAGAAAAUGAAUAGAAUCGAUCGAUCCGAGAAAGGGAGUAGUAAAUUCACGUGAGUGAUCGGGAAGGAUUGAUGAGAACGGUUCUUUCCAAGAGCGAGGAACAGACGACGAGCAUCGUUUUUCACGUUGGACGAAAUCGGAGACCUGCCGUUGCUUUGCAAACGCCGUGAACCUUGGGAGUGAUCACCCCUUCAUCAAUUAUCCAUCAUUCUGCGAAGAACCAAAAUUCAUGCCACGAUCCGUGCAGUUGGUGAUCGAACGUCUAUAGUAACGCUUCCCAAAGCGAAAUUAUAUUUCGCGACAAGGGUGUUAAUGAACGAGAUGCGGCUUCAAGCUUAAAAUAUUCAAGCGAUCUGAGGUUCUUCAGAAGUCUGUUCUCAAAGUACAAAUUGGAAAAAUUGGGAGUCAAAAACCGUAUACUUGGAGAUUUUGCCGAACCACGAACAAUGGAGAUUCGAGUGUCGUCUCUCGAGGCAAAGGGAGAAAGAGCGAAUAGUAGGAUGAAACAUGGUGCGGUCUUGAUUCCUUGGCUGCCACUGCUGAGUGCGGAGCUUCGCAGAGUUCUCUCCGCGCUCUUCACUUCUUUCUUUCCCUUCGAUUCUCUCCUUCACUAUCCGACAGCCUAUUUUUCCGCAACUUCUGAUGGCUCUCGAGGUCCCUGUCUUACCGGUAACUCAUUCCCUCGGAUCUACUACUCUCUCGAUGAAGAAUCUCUGCGCCUCUAUUUUCCAGUGUCCUCGUGGCGGCGCUAUUGCGUAAAAUCGGAGAAGAGGUAGCGCGUUCCUCGCCCGGAGCAACGUGACAACGGAAAGAAGAAACACUCGAGCAUGCCCCGCCACUGUAAAAUUCGAACGUUACGGUCGGGCCUGACUCUUUGCUCUGCCCGUACUUUUCCUUCUGGGUGAGCAAAGUUUCAGGUGUGUCCGUGACAGUCUAUCGUCGCAGCGUGUGAUUUCUUUCCUCGGCCUAUGGAUCCAUCAUAGUCGAUGCAACGAAUAACCAACAAUAACGAUCUCCGGUCGAGCGUCGGCAUUGAAAAACUGCCAUCGACUGGAAAACCUCCAAACUAUUCUAAAGUCCACCGUAUCUAGUGAUAAAUCGCGUCGUAAAGUUCGUUGUAUAACGAUGAGAAUAUUUCUUGUAUUGGCUCGCGAAGCCAUAUACAAAUAUGUACCGGAACGAACAAUCGAUUCGUGUUUUUUUAACAAAAGCUAUACCGUUUUCAUUUUCAAAAAAAAAAAAAAGAUCCGUGAUCAACGAAUUACGUUUCAUAUGUUUAUUAUAAAUAUUACACGCGAGAGACGCGAAUCGGUUUUCAAGAUUAAAAGAGUUUGAAACGGCGAAAUUUCUGAAAGCAAUACGUAGGUAUCUAUCUAUAUCGGAAUGAACCGUUUUCAAAGUAUCGAUGCCAGAGAUUCGAUAAAGCGUGCGAAAGCUAACAUUUCCUUGAAAAAAGUUGAUUUACGAGGGUAAGCAGGGCGAAGUACGCGAUAAAUACCUAGGUGGAAAUCAAGCAUCCUCGACAGUACUCUUACGCCUGAAAUUUGCUUUUUACCUGGCCCUCGUGCUCUCUUACUUUGAGAAAAUAAAGGUGAGCAAAGUUUCAGGUGUGUGAGUGCGUCGGAAUCAACAAGUAAACUCGAAUGGUAAGACCUUAGAAUAAAAUUGGGAAUUGCGCUGCUUCCAUGGAUCUCUUGUAGACAAAAGUUGGGAUCGUAUCAAAAGGAGAAAUUAUAUUCGCCCAAUUUUCGUUACAUCGUGAACACGAUUAAAGAAAUUAUUAUAUAUGUAUAUUAUAUUUCUGAAUCAUUCAUGUACAUUUUGUGAUUCAAAUAAAAUAUCAAUCCGCUUAACCUCUAAUCGAAAAGAAAUAGAAACUUUUCCUAAUCACAAAUUUAUUUCUUUUGAAAAUUUGAGAAUUUCAGUGCUGCGAUAAACGACUCGGAAGAAAGUUAACCUUGUGGAAUAAAAAACUUUGUCGAUGUCGCAAACGAUGCGUCUAAGAAUUGGUCUAAAAUUAGCAAUGAAAUUAGGCAGGCCUUGGAAAGACUAAUAAAUCAACCGAAGCGUUACGAUCUGGUUUCCGUCACUGUCAGGCUUCCUCCUAUAUAUGUAAAUCAAUAACCAACUGGUUUAAAGCCGAUAUGGUUGAGAGAAUCCAAUUUCACACAUUUAAACUUUUAUAUUUAAAAUUAUAUUCCAUCGCGUGUAAAUAACGAGUCUUUAAUUCGUUCAUUCUUGUAUGCGAAAACCAAGCAGAUAUUGUACGAUAAAAGGUAACUGAAAGAACUAUUAAAAAAUUAAGAAAACAA